UGCGGCAACGACCCGAAGGGCGAAGCGCGCAGCGCUGAGUCAUCCUUCCCCCACCACCA
rnacentral:sRNA from 1 species